CGGGACGUGUGUAUUCGAGUUGGGUUUCUGGUAAAUGCCAAUUACACAUGUUUCUGCGCAACGCCAUUAACCGCAGUGUUUAGGAUGCCCACAAUCUAACGCACGUGUCCCACCUUGCGGGGCAUUCAAACCAACUGUGUUACUAAUGAAACUGAAAAGCUUGACCAGCACAAAUGGCGUGUGCGUGCCGCAGAUAAACCACAGAAUUGAUAAGUAAUUGACUGUCCGAAGGCGUUGAUAAUGCGAUCGCGAAAUGUCACGACAGCUGAUUCGUUUCUACUCGCGUCUGAAGGCACGCAAAUCAUUACAACUGGGAAUUAAGUUGGAGGAGUGUGAUAUUAUUCAGAUGAUUUAGGUGUUAUUCGUUUAUUGUUUUUUUUUGUCUUCAAGGAGAGGUUGUAGAAAAAAGAGGAGUGGGGUUGUCUCUGGAGUAGAUAAACGGAGGACUAAAGGCUUAAAGAGCAUUUGGAAUCGGUGUUUCAAAGAAAUGUUACGAAAUUACAAGUUAAAAUACGAAUUUUUCAUCUUUACAUGUGAGAAAGAAUCGAAAUUGUAUCCCAAACCUUGCAUUGAAUUUAUGAUUAAUGGAGAAUUCAGGAGUACAAAAAUGGAAAAAUGUAUAAUUUACGAGAAGAAAAUUGUUGGAGAGGAGUAUAAUAAAUAGCUCAAGCCCGACAGGAAGAAAAUAUGAAACUUCGUCAAACCCUCAAUGAAUGCACGAACACUUCAACA